rnacentral:rRNA from 1 species
UACGUAGGGUGCGAGCGUUAAUCGGAAUUACUGGGCGUAAAGCGUGCGCAGGCGGUACGUUAAGACAGGUGUGAAAUCCCCGGGCUUAACCUGGGAAUUGCGCUUGUGACUGGCGUGCUCGAGUGCGGCAGAGGGGGGUGGAAUUCCAGGUGUAGCAGUGAAAUGCGUAGAUAUCUGGAGGAACACCGAUGGCGAAGGCAGCCCCCUGGGCCGACACUGACGCUCAGGAACGAAAGCGUGGGGAGCAAACAGG